GCUUCUGGGAGGUCUUCAGAACAGAUCAACAAGCAUGGCAGACACUGAUGCUGUAGCUACUGGCUAGAGACCAGUGCUGGGGACCACACAGGUCCUGCAGCCUGACAUAUUUUCUCUAGACUUGGAUGCCAACCCUGCAGUCUGGCUUACUAAACAUCUGCUCCCUGGCCUUCCUGAAUCCUAGGGUCUAACCUGUUAUAGCCAGAGUUUCUGAUGAUGGCUGAGGUAUGCCAAGUGGUGGUUCAUAUAUAAGGCAUGGAAGACAGCCGUGAAUAAGGUGGAUUCUUUACCAGCUGAACCAACAAGGAAGCCCAAGAAUACUGGAGUGGGUACCCAAUAGCGGAUCUUCCAGACCCAGGAAUUGAAUCAAGGUCUUCGGCAUUGCAGGCGAAUUCUUUACCAACUGAGCUACCAUGGAAGCCAGAUGCCAAUACAAAAAGCUCCAGGGAACCCCUUGAACCUUUCCAGUCCUUCUGGCAUCCGGUGAGUCAGGGACUAUGGAGACAGACCUGAUCCCCUCAUCUGCCACCUCAGGGAAUCCAGAGAGAGGUUAUUCCACGGGACACGCUCAGAACUGGCAGGCACGAGACUGUGAAAACCGUGCUUGCUUCCAAAGUACCAAGCUAGGUUCUGAGAAGAAAUAAAGGAGCAGUCUUGAGCCUGGACAUGGAUGUCAUGCUUCAGUAAUGAGAUGGGCUUUGGGCUUGGACAACCCUGGUUCCAGUUCCUACAUGGGUUUGUUGUGAAGACUGAGUACAGUAAAGCAUGCAAUUAACCUAUGACUAUGUUAAGGAGUAAAAGAUUACAGAUAAAUGUUAUUUUUAAUUAUGAACAAGUGCAAACAAAAUAUUUGUAUUUGAAGGGUCUCUUUUCAUUACAUCUCUAAUAUUCUAGGAUCUUUUUUUAAAAUUUUAGGAUCUUUUUUUUUAAUUAAAUCUGGAGUUCACUGAAAUUUAUAAAAUGCUCAUACUAUCUUCUCAGUUCAUUGGAGUUGCAUCAACAUAUAUUCAUUCAACCAAUAUUUACUGAGCACUUACCAGUGACAGGUACUCUGCCAGGAGCUGGAAAUACCAUGAGCUGCCAUGUACGGUUGUGUAAGCUGUGCUCUGUACCAUUUCACGUGUCUAGUCACACCC